rnacentral:rRNA from 1 species
UAUUGGACAAUGGGGGGAACCCUGAUCCAGCGACGCCGCGUGAGUGAAGAAGUAUCUCGGUAUGUAAAGCUCUAUCAGCAGGGAAGAAGAAAUGACGGUACCUGAGUAAGAAGCCCCGGCUAACUACGUGCCAGCAGCCGCGGUAAUACGUAGGGGGCAAGCGUUAUCCGGAUUUACUGGGUGUAAAGGGAGCGUAGACGGCAGCGCAAGUCUGGAGUGAAAUGCCGGGGCCCAACCCCGGAACUGCUUUGGAAACUGUAUGGCUGGAGUGCAGGAGAGGUAAGUGGAAUUCCUAGUGUAGCGGCGAAAUGCGUAGAUAUUAGGAGGAACACCAGUGGCGAAGGCGGCUUACUGGACUGCAACUGACGUUGAGGCUCGAAAGCGUGGGGAGCA